rnacentral:rRNA from 1 species
UAACCUGCUAAAUAGUUAGGCCAACGUUUGUUGGUCGUCAACUUCUUAGAGGGACUAUUGACUAUUAGUCAAUGGAAGUUUGAGGCAAUAACAGGUCUGUGAUGCCCUUAGAUGUUCUGGGCCGCACGCGCGCUACACUGAUCAAGUCAACGAGUUUACAACCUUGGCCGGAAGGUCUGGGUAAUCUUUUGAAACUUGAUCGUGCUGGGGAUAGUCCAUUGCAAUUAUUGGACUUCAACGAGGAAUUCCUAGUAAGCGUGAGUCAUCAGCUCGCGUUGAUUACGUCCCUGCCCUUUGUACACACCGCCCGUCGCU